rnacentral:rRNA from 1 species
GAUGAACGCUGGCGGCGUGCCUAAUACAUGCAAGUCGAGCGAACAGACGAGGAGCUUGCUCCUCUGACGUUUGCGGAGGACGGGUGAGUAACACGUGGAUAACCUACCUAUAAGACUGGGAUCACUUCGGGAAACCGGAGCUAAUACCGGAUAAUAUAUUGAACCGCAUGGUUCAAUAGUGAAAGACGGCUUUGCUGUCACUUAUAGAUGGAUCCGCGCCGCAUUAGCUAGUUGGUAAGGUAACGGCUUACCAAGGCAACGAUGCGUAGCCGACCUGCGAGGGUGAUCGGCCACACUGGAACUGAGACGCGGUCCAGACUCCUACGGGAGGCAGCAGUAGGGAAUCUUCCGCAAUGGGCGAAAGCAUGACGGAGCAACGCCGCGUGAGUGAUGAAGGUCUUCGGAUCGUAAAGCUCUGUUAUUAGGGAAGAACAAAUGUGUAAGUAACUAUGCACGUCUUGACGGUACCUAAUCAGAAAGCCACGGCUAACUACGUG